rnacentral:sRNA from 1 species
ACGAGAUGCCCUUCGUGUCGCGGUCGAAUUGUUGCCUCAAGAACUCCAAUUCUCCCGCCCCACAAGGGCAUUCUCACUUCACGACGCGCUCAACCAACCGAUCCCAUCGGUGGAUCGAG